GGAUGUGAGGGCGAUCUGGCUGCGACAUCUAUCACCCCAUUGAUCGCCAGGGUUGAUUCAGCUGAUCUGGCUGGCUAGGCGGGUGUCCCCUUCCUCCCUCACUGCUCCAUGUGCAUCCCUCCCGAAGCUGCGUGCUCAGUCUAAGAGGACGACCUUCCCUGAUAGAGGAGGACUGUUCUUCGGUCAAGGGUAUACGAGUAGCUGCACUCCCCUGCUAGAACCUCCAAACAAGCUCUCAAAGAUAUGAAUAUGGUCAUAUCUUCGAUGUAUCUGCCAUUAGGUGUAAAGUUUUCUCUCU
rnacentral:snRNA from 1 species